ACUGCUACAGGGAUAGGAAUUCUUGGAUCGCCACAGUUUACAGGGAGCUGGGAGCUGGUGCGCGGUGCUUACUGGUUUCAGUGGUUUUACACCAGAGUCGUUCUCUUUACCGGAUAACACAACAGCAAAGGGCAAAUCCUGCUUCGCGAUAAAACUUUUGAAUAUUUUUUUUAAUGGUUAUUGCUGAUGUUUUAGUCUUGCGUUCUGUGGAUGUGUUCUGCACACCCAGACGAGGGCAGCGGUGUUUCUGUCUCUGCAGUCCUGAGAGUCGACGGGGGUCUGCUUCCCUAGAGGUUUCCUUUCUCCUUUUCGUUUAAUAGCAAGUUUGAUACACUUUGAGAAAGACAGGCAGGCAGGGCGAGGCAGAGGGAGUGUCUGGGCAGAGAGACAGAAAGACAGACAGAAAGACAGACAGAUAGACAGAUAG